GACGAACGCUGGCGGCGUGCUUAACACAUGCAAGUCACGGGGGUCUCGCAAGAGAGAACCGGCGAACGGGUGCGUAACACGUGAACAACCUGCCGUUGUGAGGGGGAGUAGCCGGGCUAACGCCCGGGUAAUACCGCAUACGCUGCCCGAGGGGAGUCCCUUGGGGAGGAAAGCCAUGGCGCAAGCGAUGGCGCACGACGAGGGGUUCGCGGCCUAUCAGCUAGUUGGGGGG
rnacentral:rRNA from 1 species